UUUAAGCACGGACCAAGGAGUCUAACAUGUACGCGAGUCAUUGGGUAUUGUUUUUCAAUUAAACCUAAAGGCGUAAUGAAAGUAAAGAUCGUCCUUGUGUCGAUUUAGGGAGGAUGAGUUGCAUUAUGGUGACAACUCCGCACUCUCAGGGCGUUUCAUUUUCAUUUAUGAAAAGAGGCGCACCUAGAGCGUACACGUUGGGACCCGAAAGAUGGUGAACUAUGCCUGGUCAGGAUGAAGUCAGGGGAAACCCUGAUGGAGGUCCGUAGCGAUUCUGACGUGCAAAUCGAUCGUCGGAACUGGGUAUAGGGGCGAAAGACUAAUCGAACCAUCUAGUAGCUGGUUCCCUCCGAAGUUUCCCUCAGGAUAGCUGGCACUCAUUUGAAAAUAAUAAACGAGUCUCAUCUGGUAAAGCGAAUGAUUAGAGGCCUUGGGGACGAAACGACCUCAACCUAUUCUCAAACUUUAAAUGGGUGAGAUCUCUGGCUUGCUUGAAUAUAUUUGUUUUUGAAGCCGGGGGCUCGGAUCAGAGUGCCAAGUGGGCCAAUUUUGGUAAGCAGAACUGGCGCUGUGGGAUGAACCAAACGUCGAGUUAAGGCGCCCAAAUCGACGCUCAUGUGAAACCAUGAAAGGCGUUGGUUGCUUAAGACAGCAGGACGGUGGCCAUGGAAGUCGGAAUCCGCUAAGGAGUGUGUAACAACUCACCUGCCGAAGCAACUAGCCCUGAAAAUGGAUGGCGCUGUAGCGUCGUGCCUAUACUCGACCGUCAAUGGCAAAGAUGGCUGGCGGGCAACCGUCGGCCGUUACGCCUUGACGAGUAGGAGGGCCGCGGCGGCGUGCGUAGAAGGGUCUGGGCGCGAGCCUGCCUGGAGCCGCCGUCGGUGCAGAUCUUGGUGGUAGUAGCAAAUACUCCAGCGAGGCCCUGGAGGACUGAUGUGGAGAAGGGUUUCUUGUGAACAGCUGUUGCACAAGAGUCAGUCGGUCCUAAGCCCUAGGAGAAAUCCGAAGCGAUGGGUUGCCGUUAAUGUCAUCAAACAACAUGAAGGCACCCGUUUGGGCGAAAGGGAAUCCGGUUCCUAUUCCGGAACCUGGCAGUGGAACCGUUCCAAUUCGGGCCCUCUGAGGACUCGUCAGGGCAACCUGAAUAGACCCGGAGACGCCGACAGGAGGUUGGGGGAGAGUUGUCUCUUCUCUAUAAGCGAUCGAGUUCCCUGGAAACUUCUAGCAAGGAGAUAGGGUUUGGAUCGCGAAGAGCACUGCAGUUACGGCAGUGUCCCAAUCUUCCUCUCGGACCUUGAAAAUCCGGGUGAGGGCCACGAGGAACCCCACGCCAGACCGUACCCAUAUCCGCAGCAGGUCUCCAAGGUGCAAAGCCUCUAGUCGAUAGA
rnacentral:rRNA from 1 species